rnacentral:rRNA from 1 species
ACACGGGGAUUGCCUCAGUACGGCGAGUGAAGCGGCAACAGCUCAAAUUUGAAAUCUGGCCCCUUCGGGGUCCGAGUUGUAAUUUGUAGAGAGUGCUUCGGGUGAGACCACGGUCUAAGUCUAUUGGAACAUUACGUCAUAGAGGGUGAGAACCCCGUAUGUGACCGUGGCUCGAGCCCAUGUGAAGCCUCUUCGACGAGUCGAGUUGUUUGGGAAUGCAGCUCAAAAUGGGUGGUAAAUUUCAUCUAAAGCUAAAUACUGGCUGGAGACCGAUAGCGCACAAGUAGAGUGAUCGAAAGAUGAAAAGCACUUUGGAAAGAGAGUCAAACAGUACGUGAAAUUGUUGAAAGGGAAGCGCUGGCAACCAGACCUGUCCGUAGACGAUCAGCCGCUGUUCUCAGUGGUGCACUCGUUCUGCGAUCAGGCCAGCAUCGGUUUCGGCGGUCGGAUAAAGGCCUGGGGAACGUAGCUCCCUUUCGGGGGAGUGUUAUAGCCCCGGGCGCAAUGCGGCCAGCCGGGACCGAGGACCGCGCUUCGGCUAGGAUGCUGGCGUAAUGGUUGUCAGCGACCCGUCUUGAAACACGGACCAAGGAGUCUAACAUCUAUGCGAGUGUUUGGGUGUCAAACCCAUGCGCGGAAUGAAAGUGAACGGAGGUGAGAACCCUUUAGGGCGCAUCAUCGACCGAUCCAGAUGUCUUCGGAUGGAUUUGAGUAUGAGCAUAGCUGUUGGGACCCGAAAGAUGGUGAACUAUGCCUGAAUAGGGUGAAGCCAGAGGAAACUCUGGUGGAGGCUCGCAGCGGUUCUGACGUGCAAAUCGAUCGUCAAAUUUGGGUAUAGGGGCGAAAGACUAAUCGAACCAUCUAUAGGUGGUUAAUAAAUGUAUAUCGUUUCACGAAUACUUUCAGUCCCUCGGGGCGACAUCACUAUUUGCAUGAACAAACCUUUUGGUUAACAUGCUGCAGUUCUUCUCACUCAUGUGGGUCCUGUUCACAGACCAAAUAGUGGUGGCCGGGCUAUUCUUCCCGGGAAUGCUUGGUUUAGAAAUGGCCGAGUCCGACUCCUAAUGAGUC